GGGAUUAAUGUACGAAGAUGAGCUAGUACACUACUGUAUAUAUAUAAAUAUAGAACAACAUGUGACGAAAUCGGAAUUCCUUCCACAUGACGUCACGAAUAAUAAAUUAAAUUUUUCUCUCGAUAAUUAAAGUCUAUAUUACGAAUGCGACUUCUGCUGCUGCUACUACACGUUUUGGGUUCUUUUAAAUCGUCGUUUAAGGUCAACCGGCUGGCCAAGUACGUUGACCACAUGACUCAAGCCUUUAAAUCUUACCUAGCAGUACUUAAACGUGUUAAGACGAGUAACCAGAUCUUAUCAAUAACGAGUUUUUGUCAUUCGAAAGAACACACACGGUAUAUACAUAUAUAUAUAUAUCUAAUAUCCGGAUAAGCAGAAGGAAAUUCCGAAAGUGCGUCGAGUGCAUUUUUUAACGCUAAUUAAAACAAUAUCGAUGAAAAGCGGUUAGAAGAUAAGUGUGCAUGGGUCAGCGUACGAUUUGCAUGGGUGUAACCAGGAAAUGCUAAAAAGUUCCAAACCCGAAAUGCAGGUUUUGUAAACACUUGUUUUUUUUUCGGUCCCACAUUUUAUUACUAUUGUAGUAACGACACACCAAAUUUUGCGAUAAACAAAUUAUUGCGUCUCCAAUGUGGCAUUGGUGUCGUCGAACCGUAGUAACAAACACAAGAUUAAACAAAGGAAGUACAGUACAGUAUAGCGCACAGUUCAAGGUCAAGGCAAAAUAACGAUUCGUCAAUUUAUACUUACAAAGGCUGCUACCGUUGGUACAGAAACCACAAACAUCGGUUUUAAUAGAUAGCAAGGAUGUAACUCGGGCUGUACACGUUUUGCCACAUACACGUGUCUCCCCGCUGGAUUGUACUUUGACCCUGUUAUCGCCAAACCAAACAGAAAUCGAUAAUUCUAGAUAUUAAGAUAUAUUCCCACUCAUUCCCGGUUAUAAUAUUUAUUAUUUAUU
rnacentral:lncRNA from 1 species